UGUGGGUUGUGAAUAACAAUCCGUGCCGUCGCAAACGCAAUAAGUACCCCGCCUGAGGAGUACGAUCGCAAGAUUAAAACUCAAAGGAAUUGACGGGGACCCGCACAAGCAGCGGAGCAUGUGGUUUAAUUCGAAGCAACGCGAAGAACCUUACCUAAACUUGACAUACCUUGAAUUACCUUGUAAUGAGGGAAGCCUGCAAGGGCAAGGAUACAGGUGGUGCAUGGUUGUCGUCAGCUCGUGUCGUGAGAUGUUGGGUUAAGUCCCGCAACGAGCGCAACCCUUGUUGUUAAUUGCUAACAGGUAGAGCUGAGCACUUUAGCGAGACAGCCUAGGCUAACUAGGAGGAAGGUGGGGAUGACGUCAGAUCAUCAUGCCCCUUACGUUUAGGGCUACACACGUGCUACAAUGGUGAGAACAAAGAGAAGCAAACUAGCGAUAGUGAGCAAAACUUAUAAAACUCAUCUCAGUUCGGAUUGCAGGCUGAAACUCGCCUGUAUGAAGAUGGAGUUGCUAGUAAUCGCGAAUCAGAAUGUCGCGGUGAAUACGUUCCCGGGUCUUGUACACACCGCCCGUCACACCAUGAGAGUUGGCAACACCCGAAGCCUGUGGGCUAACAUC
rnacentral:rRNA from 1 species